rnacentral:rRNA from 1 species
CCCUGCCUUUUGUACACACCGCCCGUCGCACCUACCGAUUGAAUGAUUCGGUGAAAAUCUCAGACUGUAGCUAAGAAACCCUCGGGUUUCUCUGCCGUGGGAAGUUAUUUAAACCUCAUCAUUUAGAG